GUGCCAGCCGCCGCGGUAAGACAGAGGUGGCGAGCGUUGUUCGGAAUCACUGGGCUUAAAGGGCGCGUAGGUGGUAGUGUAAGUCUGAGGUGGAAUCCUACGGCUUAACCGUAGAACUGCCUUGGAAACUGCAUUACUUGAGUCAGUGAGGGGAGGGUAGAAUUCCCGGUGUAGCGGUGAAAUGCGUAGAUAUCGGGAGGAAGGCCGGUGGCGAAGGCGGCCCUCUGGCGCUGAACUGACACUGAGGCGCGAAAGCGUGGGGAGCAAACAGGAUUAGAUACCCCCGUAGUCC
rnacentral:rRNA from 1 species